rnacentral:rRNA from 1 species
UGCAGUCGACGAUGAAGGCUGGAGCUUGCUCUGGCUGGAUUAGUGGCGAACGGGUGAGUAACACGUGAGCAAUCUGCCCUUGACUCUGGGAUAAGCGUUGGAAACGACGUCUAAUACCGGAUACGACCCUCGGAGGCAUCUCCUGGGGGUGGAAAGAAUUUUGGUCAAGGAUGAGCUCGCGGCCUAUCAGCUAGUUGGUGAGGUAAUGGCUCACCAAGGCGACGACGGGUAGCCGGCCUGAGAGGGUGACCGGCCACACUGGGACUGAGACACGGCCCAGACUCCUACGGGAGGCAGCAGUGGGGAAUAUUGCACAAUGGGCGAAAGCCUGAUGCAGCAACGCCGCGUGAGGGAUGACGGCCUUCGGGUUGUAAACCUCUUUUAGUAGGGAAGAAGCGAAAGUGACGGUACCUGCAGAAAAAGCACCGGCUAACUACGUGCCAGCAGCCGCGGUAAUACGUAGGGUGCAAGCGUUGUCCGGAAUUAUUGGGCGUAAAGAGCUCGUAGGCGGUUUGUCGCGUCUGCUGUGAAAUCUGGGGGCUCAACCCCCAGCCUGCAGUGGGUACGGGCAGACUAGAGUGCGGUAGGGGAGAUUGGAAUUCCUGGUGUAGCGGUGGAAUGCGCAGAUAUCAGGAGGAACACCAAUGGCGAAGGCAGAUCUCUGGGCCGUAACUGACGCUGAGGAGCGAAAGCAUGGGGAGCGAACAGGAUUAGAUACCCUGGUAGUCCAUGCCGUAAACGUUGGGAACUAGAUGUGGGGACCAUUCCACGGUCUCCGUGUCGCAGCUAACGCAUUAAGUUCCCCGCCUGGGGAGUACGGCCGCAAGGCUAAAACUCAAAGGAAUUGACGGGGGCCCGCACAAGCGGCGGAGCAUGCGGAUUAAUUCGAUGCAACGCGAAGAACCUUACCAAGACUUGACAUAUACGAGAACGCUGCAGAAAUGUAGAACUCUUUGGACACUCGUAAACAGGUGGUGCAUGGUUGUCGUCAGCUCGUGUCGUGAGAUGUUGGGUUAAGUCCCGCAACGAGCGCAACCCUCGUCCUAUGUUGCCAGCACGUAAUGGUGGGAACUCAUGGGAUACUGCCGGGGUCAACUCGGAGGAAGGUGGGGAUGACGUCAAAUCAUCAUGCCCCUUAUGUCUUGGGCUUCACGCAUGCUACAAUGGCCGGUACAAAGGGCUGCGAUACCGUAAGGUGGAGCGAAUCCCAAAAAGCCGGUCUCAGUUCGGAUUGAGGUCUGCAACUCGACCUCAUGAAGUCGGAGUCGCUAGUAAUCGCAGAUCAGCAACGCUGCGGUGAAUACGUUCCCGGGCCUUGUACACACCGCCCGUCAAGUCAUGAAAGUCGGUAACACCCAACGCCGGUGGCCUAACCCGUAAGGGAGGGAGC